rnacentral:rRNA from 1 species
GAAUAGCACGAUAUUACAUUACGAUUAUGGUUAGGUAUAAAUACGGUGUUAAAAUUUUAUAAUGAAAAAUUUAAAGUUUUAUUAUAGCUAAAAAAUUUGGUAUAUUAUAAUUUUUUAUGCGAAUUUUUAUCUAAAAGGAAUUUUGAGCAGUGAAUAGAUUUAAUGAUUAAGGAUACUUAGAAUUAGAUAUUAAUAAUUGUAUAGACAAAUCUUGUGCCAGCAGUUGCGGUUAAACAUGAUAUACUUCUAAAUUUGGUUCGGGUGAUAAUGAUCUCCUUUAAAGAAGUUGAGAAUCAGUUAUAUAAGGUGAAAUUUUUUGAUUGAUUAAAUUUACUUGUAAGAGAAAUAUUAUUAGAUUUGUAAAUAAACUAGGAUUAGAUACCCUAUUAUUAGAAAAGUAAAUUUGAAUUCCUGAGAAGUACUGGUUGUUCCUUAAAUUUAAAAAAUUUGGCGGUGUUUUAGUCUAUUCAGAGGAACCUGUCCUGUAAUUGAUAAUCCACGAUUAAUUGAACUUAUUCUUUAAGUUUGUAUAUCGUCGUUAUUUGAAUAUCUUCCAAGGGAUGAAUAUUCAGAAUUUGGAAUUUUAAUCUAAAUCAGAUCAAGGUGCAGUUCACGGAUAAGGAGAGAUGGGUUACAAUGAAUAUAUAUAUAUGGUUUGAGAGGUGAAAUUCUCACGAUAAAUUGGAUUUGAUAGUAAAAUGGAUUAUAUAAUCUAUUUGAUUUUAGCUCUAGAAUAUGCACAUAUCGCCCGUCGCUCCUACUACAAAGUAGGAUAAGUCGUAACAUAGUAGGUGUACCGGAAGGUGUACCUGGAAAGG